UUCAUAAACUCGUAUGAGUUGGAUCUCAAUCCUUUCAGCGUUCCCAGUUUUUGCACAAUCUUCGGCAGUUCAGCUCUUGCUCGCUUCAUCAAAGUGGGGGCUAAAUGCAUGUGGUUACAUGCUGACAAAGAUCCUUAUUAGGUAUCGCAAGGCCUCCUUUGAUGAUCUGAUUCAAGGCCUGGACUGGUCUGUCUUCAAAAUCAUGACAGAAUGCACAGGAAUCAGUUCUUGUUGUCUCCAUUGAUUCUCCAUCUGGGUGGCAUGUUGAAUAAGGAGAUAUCAGCGGAAAAGGCAUUGAACCUCACACGCUGGUAUAUUUUUGAGUACUCAACGUCUUGUGGUUGACACUUAUCGUUCUCAGUCAGAAUGAAUGCAAGUUUAAAUUGUUCUAGUUUGCUUCACCAUUCCAGAGUUUUGAGUGGAGAAAUUUUGGAUCACAGUCCUCACCACUUUAUAGGUGGCCAAUUUGUUCCACCAUCGGCGUAGGCUUCAACUGGCACCUCCAUGUGUGCCCAAAUUCGAAAGCCUCCACAUACUGAUACAUCAGCUGAGAGAGAGCUGUAUUUCUCCCAAGUAUCUUGCGGAUCAGUUCGUUGGGCCUUGUAUUGCUAGGAGGAGUUUAUCCAAAAAAGGUGGUUUUUCUGAACAAGAGAAGAAGAAGCCAAAAAUCAUUUUUGGCUGGCACGCCAAGGAUGAAAACCAGAAGGGUCGCGAAAUAUCUGAAAACCCUUGUGCAUCACUGGUAUUUUACCGGAAUCGUCUAAAUUUCCUAGUAAACUUGUUUUUGUUCUUGCUACUUGAACAAACUAUUGUAAGUAUGGCACAGGAGUCUGUAACUAGUGUGCUUUAAUGAUCUUAGUCCUUGUGCAAAGCAAAUUGUUCUUUAGUUCGUUGAAGCGGCUUGUGUUGAAUUGGUCAGUGGACAUCACUAGUGCCCAAGCUAUUUUCUUUGAAUCACAAUUUUAUUCUGGUUGAACCUAGCAUUGGCAGAUUUAAAGAUGGAGGCUGUGUUUUGAUCACCUUCAGAAAGCAGUUGGUUAUGAUUUUUUCGACUUUCUUUAGUAUAGAACUGGAUCACCUUUGCCUGACCUAAAGGUGAGGUAAGGUGCCGACAACACAACACA